AUUGAACGCUGGCGGCAGGCCUAACACAUGCAAGUCGAGCGGUAACAGAAGAAAGCUUGCUUUCUUGCUGACGAGCGGCGGACGGGUGAGUAAUGUAUGGGGAUCUGCCCGAUAGAGGGGGAUAACUACUGGAAACGGUGGCUAAUACCGCAUGACGUCUACGGACCAAAGCAGGGGCUCUUCGGACCUUGCGCUAUCGGAUGAACCCAUAUGGGAUUAGCUAGUAGGUGAGGUAAUGGCUCACCUAGGCAACGAUCACUAGCUGGUCUGAGAGGAUGAUCAGCCACACUGGGACUGAGACACGGCCCAGACUCCUACGGGAGGCAGCAGUGGGGAAUAUUGCACAAUGGGCGCAAGCCUGAUGCAGCCAUGCCGCGUGUAUGAAGAAGGCCUUAGGGUUGUAAAGUACUUUCAGCGGGGAGGAA
rnacentral:rRNA from 1 species